UACGUAGGUGUCAAGCGUUGUCCGGAUUUAUUGGGCGUAAAGCGCCCGCAGGCGGCUUGCCAAGUUCGAUGUGAAAUCUCCCGGCUCAACUGGGAGGGUGCAUCGAAAACUGGCAGGCUUGAGGCAGGGAGAGGGAUGUGGAAUUCCAGGUGUAGUGGUGAAAUGCGUAGAUAUCUGGAGGAACACCGAUGGCGAAGGCAGCCCCCUGGGCUAACACUGACGCUCAUGCACGAAAGCGUGGGGAGCAAACAGG
rnacentral:rRNA from 1 species